AGAGCUCGAGCCGAAGUUUGAUCCUGUGUUCAGAGAUGCACAGCUUGCCAGCCGUGUCUGCAUCAUGUGCAUCAUAGCAUAUUUAUUUUUCAAAAGAAAUGCAAUAAAAAAAAUAAAAAAAAAAAGAGAAAGAAAGAAAAAGCUAAUCCCUGCAUGCAUAUCAUUUCUCAGGUACAUUCUAGAGCUUGUUCACUGAUAGAGAUGGCAACAGUCCCAGAGCCGAAGCGGAAGACUUGUUCCUACAUUUUC
rnacentral:lncRNA from 1 species